rnacentral:lncRNA from 1 species
UUUUUUUUCUUUUUUUUCAUCUGUGCUUCUGAGAUGAAUUUACUGCUAGAAUUUAUGAGCCUUUAAUGACAAUCCUUACUGAAAUUCACAGUAUUGUGAACAUAACUGACAAUUUAUACCACACAGUGUAGUUCUUUGUAAGCAUUCAGACACACACACUCACAUUAACACACUCACAUGAGAUUACAGAUAAUGGCAUUCUGCAUGGCAGGCAAUUGCCAUGAAUAAUCAGUGUCCAUUAAUAUUCUCAUAAGUUAUUGUGUUUACAAAUUAAGACUAACAUAAUCAUAAUACUCAAAACAUUAAGUUAAUGGCAUUAAGUUCCCUAUUGACGUGUAAGGCCUAUAAGUAAGAGAUGUUCAUUCUUGUUCACCAUUCUAUCCCCCAUGCCUAGAUCAGUGAGUGAAUUAUAAUACAGUUUAAAAAACAAAACAAAACUUUGUUUUAAAAAAUAAAAAAAAUAAAAUAAAAUAAAAAAUAUAAAUCAGUUGUCUAAAAAAUUAAGUGGAAAAUAAUUUCCUCUUUUUUAAAUUCCUUUAUGGUAAAGCAUGUUGAGGAGGAUAUUAUUUUGGAUCAAGAGAGAUCAUAAAUUUGAUUCACAUACAUUUGAAACAGACACAGUAGCCGCUGGGUAGGAUAUAAAGGUGAAUAUUUCCCCUUUACAGGAGAAUCUAUCAUUAAUUAAAUGUUGAAAAAUCACAGUGAUUUACACUUGCUGAAAAACCUUACAGGCAGCAAAUUAUGGUAGCCAAAGAGAUGAGUGGAUAAGUGUUGACAGAAAAAGCACAAGUGAACUUGGGUGAGCACCCUGAACCCAAACUAUCUGUGGGCCAUGUUGUCUGAGGGUGAUGUACUUACCUGUUUAGACCUAAUGAUUAAGCAUGUCUCUGGUUAGAGACGUUUGAUCUAUUGUACCCAGCCUGGGAGAAAAGCACACAAUGUGCCUGGUCCAUUAGAAAAUACAGUCCUCUAUGAAAUGUUAACACUUGGCCUUCUAUGCACCGGGUUCAUUACUAUGGUAAUACCCCCAUUUUCUCUCUGAUGCUGAAAAUGUGAGUUCUACAGCUCAUCCUUUUGUGUGUGAUCAGUAGGAAAAUGGGAUGAUGGAAACAUUUGAUGGGUUCUAAUAAGACAACAUCCUAGCCAACUAAUUCAUGACAUAAAACGAGUACUUGGUGUUCUUAUUUAUCCUGCUACCCCUUAGCCUAGCUUAAGUCCAAAAGUAUAAAAGAGGUUGAUUCCUUUGGUCCAAGCUAACUCCCUAAUUCACAGCCCCCCUAAUUCUGAUAAUUCUUCUUAUCAGAUCUGCUCCAAGGGUCUUGCUGAGGAUUUCACAAUACUAAUAAAAACUUCUAGAUGGGUAAAACUUACUUCUCAGGUUUUUUUUUUUUUUUUUUUUUUUUAUUAAAUCAGAAGAUAACUGCUUGCAAACUCAAAUAUUAUCUUCUGUAUUUCUAAAUAAUUUCACUACAUUUUGGAACAUGAAGAUUAGUAAAUAAGAAGGAAAGAAAAAUAAUAAUAAAAAGGAAAACUCAAGGAGAAAAAAAAAGAAAAGCUAGAGACUUCACACCUUUGGGGCUUUUCCAUCCUCCCAGCUAUUUUUACUUGCUAACUUUGCCAUCUACCACACAUCAUGGGUGUUGCGCGUGUC